rnacentral:rRNA from 1 species
GAUGAACGCUGGCGGCGUGCCUAAUACAUGCAAGUCGAGCGAACAGACGAGGAGCUUGCUCCUCUGACGUUAGCGGCGGACGGGUGAGUAACACGUGGAUAACCUACCUAUAAGACUGGGAUAACUUCGGGAAACCGGAGCUAAUACCGGAUAAUAUAUUGAACCGCAUGGUUCAAUAGUGAAAGACGGUUUUGCUGUCACUUAUGGAUGGAUCCGCGCCGCAUUAGCUAGUUGGUAAGGUAACGGCUUACCAAGGCAACGAUGCGUAGCCGACCUGAGAGGGUGAUCGGCCACACUGGAACUGAGACACGGUCCAGACUCCUACGGGAGGCAGCAGUAGGGAAUCUUCCGCAAUGGGCGAAAGCCUGACGGAGCAACGCCGCGUGAGUGAUGAAGGUCUUCGGAUCGUAAAACUCUGUUAUUAGGGAAGAACAAAUGUGUAAGUAACUAUGCACGUCUUGACGGUACCUAAUCAGAAAGCCACGGCUAACUACGU